UCUCCACAAGUUAGACUCUAUAGAUCUUGGGCUUUUACCCACUAUGCAUCAACACAGGUAGUGUGAGCAAUGUGAGUGACACACAGACUAGCAGGGGAUAGAUUGCUUAUCCCUUGGGUUCUGCCAAUUGCCUCUUCUCUUAGGAGGACUUUGCAUAUAUACAGGGACAAGAUUUAAACAUACACAAACAUUGCCUCUUAAGGAGGACUUCAGACAGUUGCCUGGCCAAGUAACAGGCCAGAUCUUCCAGACUACAUGAAGAUUAGAAAUAUACCUCAAUGCAAAUUGCUUAUAUAAGCAA
rnacentral:lncRNA from 1 species